ACUCCUACGGGAGGCAGCAGUGGGGAAUCUUGGACAAUGGGGGCGAACCCUGAUCCAGCCAUGCCGCGUGAGUGAUGAAGGCCUUAGGGUCGUAAAGCUCUUUCGCCUGUGAUGAUAAUGACAGUAGCAGGUAAAGAAACCCCGGCUAACUCCGUGCCAGCAGCCGCGGUAAUACGGAGGGGUUAGCGUUGUUCGGAAUUACUGGGGCGUAAAGCGCGCGUAGGCGGACCAGAAAGUUGGGGGUGAAAUCCCGGGGCUCAACCCCGGAACUGCCUCCAAAACUCCUGGUCUUGAGUUCGAGAGAGGUGAGUGGAAUUCCGAGUGUAGAGGUGAAAUUCGUAGAUAUUCGGAGGAACACCAGUGGCGAAGGCGGCUCACUGGCUCGAUACUGACGCUGAGGUGCGAAAGUGUGGGGAGCAAACAGGAUUAGAUACCCUGGUAGGAUAGCG
rnacentral:rRNA from 1 species